rnacentral:rRNA from 1 species
CCUACGGGUGGCAGCAGUAGGGAAUUUUCGUCAAUGGGCGCAAGCCUGAACGAGCAAUGCCGCGUGAACGAGGAAGGACUUCGGAUCGUAAAGUUCUGUUGAAGGGGAAAAAGAGCGGAGAGAGGAAAUGCUUUCGGAUUGAUAUUACCCUUCGAGGAAGUCACGGCUAACUACGUGCUAGCAGCCGCGGUAAUACGUAGGUGGCGAGCGUUAUCCGGAAUGAGUGGGCGUAAAGGGUGCGUAGGCGGCCUGCUAAGUCUGGAGUGAAAGGUACGGGCUCAACCGGUACAGGCUCUGGAAACUGGCGGGAUAGAGAGCAGGAGAGGGCGGUGGAACUCCAUGUGUAGCGGUAAAAUGCGUAGAUAUAUGGAAGAACAUCAGUGGCGAAGGCGGCCGCCUGGCCUGUUAACUGACGCUGAGGCACGAAAGCGUGGGGAGCAAAUAGGAUUAGAUACCCUUGUAGUC